AAGCGUGCGCAGGCGGUUAUGUAAGACAGAUGUGAAAUCCCCGGGCUCAACCUGGGAACUGCAUUAGUGACUGCAUAGCUGGAGUACGGCAGAGGGGGGAUGGAAUUCCGCGUGUAGCAGUGAAAUGCGUAGAUAUGCGGAGGAACACCGAUGGCGAAGGCAAUCCCCUGGGCCUGUACUGACGCUCAUGCACGAAAGCGUGGGGAGCAAACAGGAUUAGAUACCCCUGU
rnacentral:rRNA from 1 species